rnacentral:lncRNA from 1 species
UGUCCCCAUGUCCCCGCUGUCCCCAUGUCCCCGCUGUCCCCCGUGUCCCCGUCCCCGUGCCCCUGUCCCCGUGUCCCCUCCCUGACCCUGCCCCUGUCCCCAGCCUACUCGGCGCACCUGGACGCGGAGCUGGGUCCCCAAAGCUACCUGGGCCCCGAGUUCCCCCCGGCCAUGACCCCCACGUCCCCGCGCCGCUACUCCCCCGGCCCCAAGGACCUGCUGGCCGACGACGACGUCCCCAGGGAGCCGCGGCGCAUCGUCAUCCACCGGGGCUCCACGGGGCUGGGCUUCAACAUCGUGGGGGGCGAGGACGGCGAGGGCAUCUUCAUCUCCUUCAUCCUCGCCGGCGGCCCCGCCGACCUCAGCGGCGAGCUGCGCAAGGGCGACCAGAUCCUCUCCUGAGGCGUGCCCGGCACGGGCCCCCCCCUCCCGGUGUCCCCACGGGUGUCCUGGUGCCGCCCUGCUCCCCGUGGCGCUGUCCCCAGCACUCGCCGCACGGUGACGUGUCCCCAGCGCUCGCCUCCGCUGCCCCCCGUCCCCGUCCCCGAGAGCCACAGGUCCCCACCCCUGUCCCCGUUGCCGUCCCCGUCCCCGUCCCCGUCACCACCUGUCCCCAUCCCCGCUGCCGUCCCCGCUGCCAUCCCCAUCGCUGUCCCCAUAGUGACGUGUCCCUGUCCACAUCCCCGGUGUCACCUCUGUCACUGUCCCCAUAGUGGUGUGUCCCCAUCGCCAUCCCCACGGGGACACGUCCCCAUCCCUGUCCCCAUCCCUGUCCCCAUUGCCAUCCCCACGGUGACAUGUCCCCAUCCCUGUCCCCAUCGCCAUCCCCACGGUGACACGUCCCCAUCCCUGUCCCCAUCAUCACCCCCACGGUGCCAUGUCCCCGUUGCCACCCCCAUAGUGACGUGGCCCCCAUUGCCAUCCCCAUCCCUGUCCCCAAGGUGGCGUCCCCAUCCCCAUUCACUGUCCCCACGGUGCCACGUUCCUGUCCCCAUCACCAUCCCCAUGGUGCCACGUCCCCAUCCCUGUCCCCGUCCCCGUGGUGACGUCCCCAUCCCUGUCCCUGUCCCCAUGGGGACACAUCUCCAUCCUCGUCCCCAUCCCUGUCCCCACAGUGGCAUGUCCCCAUCCCUGUCCCCAUCCCUGUCCCCAUUGCCAUCCCCAUGAUGACACAUCCCCAUCGCUGUCCCCAUCCCCAUGGUGCCAUGUCCCCAUCCCUGUCCCCAUCGCCAUCCCCAUGGUGCC